rnacentral:rRNA from 1 species
GUACGGUCGCCAAGAUUAAAACUCAAAGGAAUUGACGGGGACCCGCACAAGCGGUGGAUGAUGUGGAUUAAUUCGAUGCAACGCGAAAAACCUUACCUACCCUUGACAUGUCACUAACGAAGUAGAGAUACAUUAGGUGCCCGUAAGGGAAAGUGAACACAGGUGCUGCAUGGCUGUCGUCAGCUCGUGUCGUGAGAUGUUGGGUUAAGUCCCGCAACGAGCGCAACCCUUGUCUUUAGUUGCUACGCAAGAGCACUCUAAAGAGACUGCCGGUGACAAACCGGAGGAAGGUGGGGAUGACGUCAAGUCCUCAUGGCCCUUAUGGGUAGGGCUUCACACGUCAUACAAUGGUGCGUACAGAGGGUUGCCAACCCGCGAGGGGGAGCUAAUCUCUUAAAACGCAUCGUAGUCCGGAUCGUAGUCUGCAACUCGACUACGUGAAGCUGGAAUCGCUAGUAAUCGCGGAUCAGCAUGUCGCGGUGAAUACGUUCCCGGGUCUUGUACACACCGCCCGUCACACCAUGGGAGUGGGUUUUGCCAGAAGCAGUUAGCCUAACCGUAAGGAGGGCGAUUGCCACGGCAGGGUUCAUGACUGGGGUG